rnacentral:rRNA from 1 species
ACUCCUACGGGGAGGCAGCAGUAGGGGAAUCUUCCACAAUAGGACGGAAAGUCUGAUGGAGCAACGCCGCGUGAGUGAAGAAGGGUUUCGGCUCGUAAAACUCUGUUGUUAAAAGAAGAACAUAUCUGAGAGUAACUGUUCAGGUAUUGACGGUAUUUAACCAGAAAGCCACGGCUAACUACGUGCCAGCAGCCGCGGUAAUACGUAGGUGGCAAGCGUUGUCCGGAUUUAUUGGGGCGUAAAGCGAGCGCAGGCGGUUUUUAAAGUCUGAUGUGAAAGCCUUCGGCUCAACCGAAGAAGUGCAUCGGAAACUGGGAAACUUGAGUGCAGAAGAGGACAGUGGAACUCCAUGUGUAGCGGUGAAAUGCGUAGAUAUAUGGAAGAACACCAGUGGCGAAGGCGGCUGUCUGGUCUGUAACUGACGCUGAGGCUCG